GCCGGGGUAGCCUAGCCUGGCUAGGGCGCCAGACUCAUAAUCUGGAGGUCGCGGGCUCGAAUCCCGCCCCCGGCACCA
rnacentral:tRNA from 1 species